rnacentral:lncRNA from 12 species
ACUUCUAUCACCAUUCACUCUGAGUCCUCUCAGCCUCCAUUAUGUAUAAUUAAAUGGGUUUUUAUCCUGAGAAGCUGUUCAGCUCACAGCAGACUAUUUUCCCAUACCCUGACAGUUGUCCUGCUUCAGAAUCCUCUUGGGCUUCCUGUCAAAAAGGAGGCCUAUUCUGCAUGGUGUAUCCAGGGCCAGCUCAGUAGGAUGGGAACAUGCGCACCUGCAAGAGUCACAUCAGCAUCCUGUCAGUUAAUGAGAACCUUCCAGUGCCCCUCUCUGAGAGAACCCAGUAUGCAGCGGGUGAAAAGGUAUAAUCAUCUCAGAACAUUUCAAGAUUUAAUGAGAAUGAAGAAGACAUGUGUUUUGGGUUUCUGAUGUAUGGCAUGUAAUGGAAAGGAACCUGGGCUACGAUUUUAGAGAUUUUGUCUCUGGUCUUGAUCUCACUACUGCAAAGCUUUGUGACCUUGAGUAAGUAUCCUUUUCUUGUCCUCCUGUUGAUUUCUUCAUUUGUAAUAUGAAGAGAUUGUAAUUGAACUUUACUACUCAAACUAUAGUCCAUGAAACAGCAAUAUCCAUAUCACCUGGGAGCUUUCUAUAACUGUGGACCUCUUUCCAAACCUACUGCAUCAGAUUCUGCAUUUUAACAAAAUCCUCAGGUGGUUCACAUUAAACUUUGGAAAGCAUUGGACUAAAGAACCUCUAAGGUCCCUUUCUAUGCUAACUUUUUAGGACUAAAGAAACUUAAGAGAGGAAAAUAUGAAACAAAAACAAAACAGCUUUAGUGAUACUGAUAUUUUAUUCUUUCUGAGAAAAAAGAGAUAUGACCCAAAUAUGUGACAUAUCCUGACUGAUACAAUCAAAAGAUCCUUUUUUUUUUUUUUUUUUUUUUUGUUAGUUGAAAAUUAUGGAGGCAAAAAUGCCAAGGGAUCCAAGAUUGCUUGUUGUAUUUAGUGAUCUUGUAGCUUGUUAUAGUGUCCAGCUAUAUCCUUUUCUGCUUCCCUGGCUUUUCUCAUUGCCACCUUCUCAAGGUUACUUUCAAGAAUUCUAUUAGAAACAAGCUAGGAAAAGUAAAGUGACCUACCAAAGGUCAUGCUGCAAGGCAUUCCUGAAAAUGCCAGUAAUAAUGGAUGACAGCAGUACUACAGAAAAAACCCUAAAAUAAAUAAUGGAUUUAGUUAAAUGAAGCCUAGAAU